rnacentral:misc_RNA from 1 species
CACCACUCAAGCCCAGCUUGGUGUUGGGGCACCCGGCCGCCCGGCGGUCGGGGCCCCCAAGAACAUCGGCGGUCUCGCUAGGACCCUGAACGCAGUAACUCGCGGUAAAACGCGCUUCGUUCGGUGGCUUCCCGGCGGGCUCCAGCCGCUAAACCCCCUAAACUUCUUA